CGGGGGAGGCCGGAUCCUGGGCUGUGUCCCGGCGCCCUGUGCUCCGGCUCCUGCGCUGUUGGAUUUGCGCUCCCGCCCCGCAGCCCCCU
rfam:Canis lupus familiaris chromosome 29, whole genome shotgun sequence.